AACGAACGCUGGCGGCAGGCCUAACACAUGCAAGUCGAACGCCCCGCAAGGGGAGUGGCAGACGGGUGAGUAACGCGUGGGAACCUUCCCAAAGGUGCGGAAUAGCUCAGGGAAACUUGGGGUAAUACCGCAUAAUGCCGAGAGGCCAAAGAUUUAUCGCCUUUGGAUGGGCCCGCGUCGGAUUAGCUAGUUGGUGAGGUAACGGCUCACCAAGGCGACGAUCCGUAGCUGGUUUGAGAGAAUGACCAGCCACACUGGGACUGAGACACGGCCCAGAGUCCUACGGGAGGCAGCAGUGGGGAAUCUUGGACAAUGGGCGCAAGACUGAUCCAGCCAUGCCGCCUGAGUGACGAAGGCCUUAGGGUUGUAAAGCUCUUUUGCCGGGGACGAUAAUGACGGUACCCGGAGAAUAAGUCCCGGCUAACUUCGUGCCAGCCGCCGCAGUAA
rnacentral:rRNA from 1 species